rnacentral:rRNA from 1 species
GCAAGUCGAGCGGACACCUGCGGGUGUUAGCGGCGGACGGGUGAGUAACACGUGGAUAACCUGCCUGGCUGACCGGGAUAACAGGCCGAAAGGCUUGCUAAAACCGGAUAAGCUCACGGGGGCGCAUGCUCCUGGGAGAAAAGGCGCUGCAAGGCGCUGCAGACAGAGGGGUGCGCGGCCCAUUAGCUAGUUGGAGGGGUAACGGCCCACCAAGGCGACGAUGGGUAGCCGGCCUGAGAGGGCGAUC